GUGGCAUACCUGUAGUCCCAGCUACCCGGGACACUGAGACAGGAGCAUUGCUUGAAUCCAGGAGUGCUGGGCUGUAGUGUGCUAUGCAGAUCAGGUGUCUGCACUAAGUUUGGCAUCAAUAUGGUGACCUCCCAGGAGUGGGAGACCACCAGGUUGCCUAAGGAGGGGUAAACUGCUCCAGGUCAGAAAAGGAGCAAGUCAAAACUCCCGUGAUGACCAGUAGUGAGAUUGCACCUUGAAUAGCCACUGCACUCCAGCCUGGCCAACAUAGUGAGACCCCUUCUCU
rnacentral:SRP_RNA from 1 species